rnacentral:rRNA from 1 species
UACGUAGGGCGUAAGCGUUGUCCGGAAUUAUUGGGCGUAAAGAGCUUGUAGGCGGUUUGUCGCGUCUGCCGUGAAAUUUCGAGGCUCAACCUCGAACUUGCGGUGGGUACGGGCAGACUAGAGUGUGGUAGGGGAGACUGGAAUUCCUGGUGUAGCGGUGAAAUGCGCAGAUAUCGGGAGGAACACCGGUGGCGAAGGCGGUUCUCUGGGCCUUACCUGACGCUGAGGAGCGAAAGCGUGGGGAGCGAACAGG